rnacentral:rRNA from 1 species
CUACGGGACGCUCCAGUGGGGAAUAUUGGACAAUGGACCAAAAGUCUGAUCCAGCAAUUCUGUGUGUUUGAUGAAGGCCUUCGGGUUGUAAAGAACUUUAAGUAGGGAAGAAGAAAGUGACGGUACCUACAGAAUAAGCGACGGCUAAAUACGUACCAGCAGCCGCGGUAAUACGUAUGUCGCAAGCGUUAUCCGGAAUUAUUGGGCAUAAAGCGCGUCUAGGCGGUUUACUAAGGCUGAUGUGAAAAUGCGGGGCUCAAAUCCGUAUUGCGUUGGAAACUGGUAGACUAGAGUAUUGGAGAGGUAGGCGGAACUACAAGUGUAGAGGUGAAAUUCGUAGAUAUUUGUAGGAAUGCCAAUGACGAAGGUAGCUUACUGGACAAAUACUGACGCUGAAGCGCGAAAGCUAGGGGAGCAAACAGGAUUAGAUACCCUCGUAGUC